rnacentral:rRNA from 1 species
UACGUAGGCAGCGAGCGUUGUUCGGAGUUACUGGGCGUAAAGGGUGCGUAGGCGGUUGUUUAAGUUUGGUGUGAAAUCUCCCGGCUCAACUGGGAGGGUGCGCCGAAUACUGAAUGACUAGAGUGCGGGAGAGGAGAGUGGAAUUCCUGGUGUAGCGGUGAAAUGCGUAGAUAUCAGGAGGAACACCGGUGGCGAAGGCGGGUCUCUGGGCCGAUACUGACGCUGAGGAGCGAAAGCGUGGGGAGCGAACAGG